rnacentral:rRNA from 1 species
GAUGAACGCUGGCGGCAUGCCUAAUACAUGCAAGUCGAACGGAAAGACAAUAAGCUUUCUCCUCUACCGUUGGCGACUGACGGGUGGGUAACACAUACAUCACCUACUUAUAAGUCUUGGAUGACUUCGUAAAGACAGAUCUGCUACUACCUCAUAUGUUCAACCGGUUAAAUCAGUAGAUAUUGACACUUUUGCUGUCACUUAUAGAUGAAUCCGUGUCGGAUUAGCUAGUUGGUAAGGUAACGGCUUACCAAGGCAACGAUGCGUAGCCGAUCUGAGAGGGUGAUCGGCCACACUGGAACUGAGACACGGUCCAGACUCCUACGGGAGGCAGCAGUAGGGAAUAUUCGGCAAUGGGCGAAAGCCUGAUGCAGCAAUGCCGCGUGAGUGAAGAAGGCCUUCGGAUUGUAAAGCUCUGUUAUUAGGGAAGAAAAACUGUGUAUGAAUACACGGAUGUCUUGACGGUACCCAAAGAGAAAGCCACGGCUAACUACGUG